rnacentral:rRNA from 1 species
AGAGUUUGAUCAUGGCUCAGGACGAACGCUGGCGGCGUGCCUAAUACAUGCAAGUCGAGCGGACUUGAAGAGGUGCUUGCACUUCUGAUGGUUAGCGGCGAACGGGUGAGUAACACGUAGGCAACCUGCCCUCAAGACUGGGAUAACUACCGGAAACGGUAGCUAAUACCGGAUAAUUUAUUCUACCGCAUGGUGGAAUA